AAGAGACAGCAGUAGCCACGGUAAUACGAAGGGUGCAAGCGUUACUCGGAAUUACUGGGCGUAAAGCGUGCGUAGGUGGUGGUUUAAGUCCGUUGUGAAAGCCCUGGGCUCAACCUGGGAAUUGCAGUGGAUACUGGGUCACUAGAGUGUGGUAGAGGAUAGUGGAAUUUCCGGUGUAGCAGUGAAAUGCGUAGAGAUCGGAAGGAACAUCUGUGGCGAAGGCGACUAUCUGGGCCAACACUGACACUGAGGCACGAAAGCGUGGGGAGCAAACAGGAUUAGAUACCCCAGUAGUCCCUGUCUCUUAUAC
rnacentral:rRNA from 1 species